UCAUCCUACAAAGGCAUACACAUGACUCUAUCUUUGGAUAUAUAAUAUUCAGAGAUAAAGAUAUGUAAAAUUGGAGAAAUUUGGGGCUAGCUUGCUCACUGCUUGCUGAGGAUCAGCAAUCAAAUCU